rnacentral:rRNA from 1 species
UGGGGAAUAUUGGACAAUGGGGGCAACCCCUGAUCCAGCCAUGCCGCGUGAGUGAUGAAGGCCUUCGGGUUGUUAAAGCUCUUUUGGCGGGGACGAUGAUGACGGUACCCGCAGAAUAAGCCCCGGCUAACUUCGUGCCAGCAGCCGCGGUAAGACGAAGGGGGCUAGCGUUGUUCGGAAUUACUGGGCGUAAAGCGAGUGUAGGCGGUUGCCGUAGUCAGGUGUGAAAGCCUUGAGCUCAACUCAAGAAAUGCACUUGAUACUGGGUGACUAGAGGACCGGGAGAGGAUAGUGGAAUUCCCAGUGUAGUGGUGAAAUACGUAGAGAUUGGGAAGAACCCAGUGGCGAAGGCGGCUAUCUGGACGGUUA